GACGAACGCUGGCGGCGUGCUUAACACAUGCAAGUCGAGCGGUAAGGCCCUUUCGGGGGUACACGAGCGGCGAACGGGUGAGUAACACGUGGGCGACCUACCCUCAGCUUCGGGAUAAGCCUGGGAAACUGGGUCUAAUACUGGAUAUGACUCCACGGUGCAUGUCGUGGGGUGGAAAGCCUUGUGCGGCUGAGGAUGGGCCCGCGGCCUAUCAGCUUGUUGGUGGGGUGAUGGCCACCAAGGCGACGACGGGUAGCCGGCCUGAGAGGGCGACCGGCCACACUGGGACUGAGACACGGCCCAGACUCCUACGGGAGGCAGCAGUGGGGAAUCUUGCGCAAUGGGCGAAAGCCUGACGCAGCGACGCCGCGUGAGGGAUGACGGCCUCGGUUGUAA
rnacentral:rRNA from 1 species